UGUUUUCUGUCUUUUAGCUUUUUGUCAUUUUUUUUUCUUUCUUCGUGUUUCACUGAUUUUUCUAUAGUGACAUGUUUUGAUUCACUUCUCAUUUCCCUCUCUGUAUAAAUAUCCUAUAGCUAUUUUCUUCGUGGUUAUCAUGGCAUGUGACAAGUUGUUGCUUUCAAGACUCUCACUUUACAUGUGACAUCUGACAGUAUAGUUAUGAUGUGUCUCAGUGUAUAUCUCUUUAGAUUUACCCUAGUUCUUUUGAGUUUCUUGAAUUUGUAUAUCCAUUUCUCUUCUUAAUUUUGAGAAACUUUUGGCCAUUGUUUCUUCAAAUAGAUUCCCUGUUCCUUUCUUUCUUUACUUUCUGAGACUCCCAUAAUUUGUAUAUUGUUUUUCUGGUCCAUAAAUCUCUCAAGCUCUCUUCAUUUUUCAUUUUUGGGCUCCCCUGCUUCAGUAAAAUUUGAAAGUCCUAUGUUCAAGUUCAUUGAUUCUAUCUUCUGUCUGGUCAAAUCUACUAUUGAGUCCUGACAGUGAAUUUUUCAAUUUUGUACUGUUAUUCUUUAGUUGCAGAAUUUGUUUGGCUCUUCUUCAUAGUUUCUAUCUCUUUGUUCAUACUCUCAUUUUGUUCAUGCAUCAUUUUCCUAAUUUUGUUUACUUGUCUAUCUGUGCUGUUUUUUUUUAAUUUAAUUAGGUAUCCUUAAGAUGGUAAUUUUGAAUUCUUUACCUGUCAAUUCACAUCUCCUUUUUCUUAGAUUUGGUUUCUGGAGAUCUAAUUUGUUCCUUUAAACAUAUUAUAGUUGGCUGUUUCUCUGUAGGUCUUGUUUUUUGUUGUUGGGACUUGGGGAUCUGAAGAAUCGACCAACUUUUCAGACUUUGUAGUCUGGCUUCAUACAAGGAUGGCUUUCUCUAUUCAGCAUGCUAGAGAUUCUGGACACCUCAAAGGUCUUUUCCAGAGGGUGCCAAUGAUCACCUGCCACCCUGUGACACCAGGCUGUCCACAUAGCCGGCAGUCUGGCCAUCAGCAGACCAGCCCAGAGAGGCACACUGGGGUGGCUCUGCCUUGCUGCUGGAACUGAUAACGUUCUGCUUCAGUUCAUCUACAAUGAUCUUGUCUUCCAAGUCCCAGAUCUUGAUGUGGGAGCCCAUGGCAGCACAGAGUCAGUAUCAGCUAGGACUGAAGCA